rnacentral:rRNA from 1 species
UACGGGGGGGGCAAGCGUUGUUCGGAAUUACUGGGCGUAAAGGGCUCGUAGGCGGCCAACUAAGUCAAACGUGAAAUCCCUCGGCUUAACCGGGGAACUGCGUCUGAUACUGGAUGGCUUGAGUUUGGGAGAGGGAUGCGGAAUUCCAGGUGUGGCGGUGAAAUGCGUAGAUAUCUGGAGGAACACCGGUGGCGAAGGCGGCAUCCUGGACCAACACUGACGCUGAGGAGCGGAAGCCAGGGGAGCAAACGGG